rnacentral:rRNA from 1 species
UAAUACGGAGGGUGCGAGCGUUAAUCGGAAUUACUGGGCGUAAAGCGCGCGUAGGCGGUUGGGUCAGUUGGAUGUGAAAGCCCCGGGCUUAACCUGGGAAUUGCAUUCAAUACUGCCCAGCUAGAGUAUGGGAGAGGGAAGUGGAAUUUCCGGUGUAGCGGUGAAAUGCGUAGAUAUCGGAAGGAACACCAGUGGCGAAGGCGGCUUCCUGGCCCAAUACUGACGCUCAGGUGCGAAAGCGUGGGGAGCGAACAGGAUUAGAUACCCUGGUAGUCCACGCCGUAAACGAUGAGAACUAGAUGUUGGGAGGGUUUGCCUCUCAGUGUCGCAGCUAACGCAUUAAGUUCUCCGCCUGGGGAGUACGCCGGCAACGGUA